GACGAACGCUGGCGGCGUGCUUAACACAUGCAAGUGGAGCGACGAACCGGGGCUUGCCCCGGGGCAAAGCCGCGAACGGGUGAGUAACACGUGGGUAACCCACCUCGAUGACCGGGACAACCCGAGGAAACUCGGGCUAAUACCGGAUGUGUUCCCUUCUCGUGAGAGAUGGGAGGAAAGAUAGCUUCGGCCUUCGCAUCGAGACGGGCCCGCGGCCCAUUAGCUUGUUGGUGGGGUAACGGCCUACCAAGGCUUCGAUGGGUAGCUGGUCUGAGAGGACGAUCAGCCACACUGGGACUGAGACACGGCCCAGACUCCUACGGGAGGCAGCAGUGGGGAAUCUUGCACAAUGCGCGAAAGCGUGAUGCAGCAACGCCGCGUGGGGGAAGAAGGCCUUCGGGUUGUAAACCCCUUUCAGUUGGGACGAAGCUUCGCCGGUGAACAGCCGGCCGGAGUGACGGUACCUUCAGAAGAAGCCCCGGCUAACUACGUGCCAGCAGCCGCAGUAACAC
rnacentral:rRNA from 1 species